GCUGAUCACUAACCGGAUCAUCUUCUCAAUGGGAGGCUGGUCAAGGUACCAAGUCAAUCCUUUUGUCUCCACGGGACACAUGUGACUGAUAGUCCAGAGGUAUAACAACUGAGAGCAACACUUAAUGAACCCUUUCCCCUGUUGUCUGCAGUAAGUUAGGGUUAACAAGGUUUCAGCAAGGAUUGCCGGUAUCGGGUUGAUCCCCUGCCUUUCUACUGUCCAAAAUACCUCUACUGCACUGCUAGUGAUGAUCCCCAAUGGCCCCGGGAACAGGAUCAGACCAUAGAUUCCCAAGGCGAGUGCUACGGAAGCUUGAUCCCAUCGUUUCUCUUGGAGGCGAUGAUCUAACCGCUUCUCAAGGUACGUCCAAUACCAUCCAUACGUGUUCCCUUUGACUGUUUCUCUGGACUUUACUUCUUCUGGGGGAAAACCCAACAUGUGUGCCAACCGUUUCCAGGUCUGUCUAUGCUCGAGGUGUAAGUAGAUCCGGUUCUGCAAGGAGUAUGGGAUCCCUAGCAAUGCCUGAUAUUCUUCCAUAGUGGGGACUGUGUCAAUAUCAUUGAAAGAGAAUACUCCGUACUUAGGAUUCCAAACCGACAACAUGGCUUUUAAUGCCGGGAUUUGGACCUUGACUUGCAUUAAGGUUGCAAUCCUCCCGUACUUCUCUUCAAAACGUGCCUUGGCCUGAUCGGGAAGCGACCUCCAUCCGUUAGACAGACCCUCUAGGCUAUUCAUUCUGACCUCUAUUUUAUUCAGAUCUAGCAAAGGUAGCGAGCUAGCAGGUGCCUCGGAAGCAUCAUUUUGCGAGGGUACCGGACUAUGAGCUGAUUCGGACCAAAGUUUAACAUUCUGAACCUUUUCUGCCGACUGACUCGAGGAUGCCAUGUUAAAAAUGAUGCUUAUCCUUUUACAGACCUUAUUUUGGUGAUGCCUGCGGGAAGAUUCGUUAGUAAGACAAAUUAGGGUAAUUUUGAAUCAUACUGUUGACAGAGUGACACGUACACAUUUAUCAAAGUAGGAAAAUGUGUAAGUGUUUCAGUAGAAUUCAAGAUUACCCUCACAAAAUGAACGAAAAGAAAUCGAAAGAGAGCAAGGUAAGAGUAAACAUGUCCCUUUUUGUCCUAUAAUAGGGAGACUCCUGAUACCGGGUAAGCGCUACCUAUCUGGAUGGUUCUAUCUUAUGAGGCAGUUUACUACGGCUUUCAGCUAUUGUGACGGUUUAGCUCAGGAUCUAAUUUUUCUAAUAGCCACAGGUUCCCAAAUUGCCCCUACUGUAAACAGUAGAGCCCCAUUCUACCCCCAUGAUAUUGUCGGGAAAAUUCCACGAGUAUCACAAUGGAUAGAACGAGUUUCAAUUUGAGCAGGAGCCUUCACGGAUACUAACGGGGUAAAACCCACGGGCACCGCUACAUGACCCCCUCCUACUUUCCUAAAAGGGUAAGAAAGCCCGGGUUAGGACCAUAGUGUGUGAGGACAUUGUGUGAGUGUUCGGUGUGUGAAGGGACACUUUUACCUCUUCCCAAUUCAGGGGGAUUUUAUUUUUCCAUUUUUCCUUUUUUCCUUUUUCUUUGAAAUGAAGAGCACUGUAGGAGGGAAUAAAACAGGCAAAACAAACACAACGGUUAGCAGCAAUAAUAAUCAACGUAUAAAACAUCGUCGAGUGAGCCCAUCUAACUAUAAUUUGAUCGGACAAAAAUCAAACCUACUUUUGGACCUCUAGACUGGGAUUGAAUAUAGAUCCCCAGUGGAGUCGCCAAGCUGUCGCAACGGGAUUUUGCGGUCGCCCGGACGAUCACUCACCGAAGUGGGAAAAAGUGAGGAGUCGCCACCUUAGUUU
rnacentral:misc_RNA from 1 species